GUCUUUCCUAAUUUUUCAGCACAUAACUGGACAACAUACAAUUAAAUGAUUUUACCAUUACAUUGAACUCUGAGUUUCUGUCAACUCUUAUAUCAUGUGUAUAUCAUGUUCUAUUUAAGUUUCUGUUCAUUUUAGACAGCAGCGUGUGAACGGGACUUUUAUUUUGGUGUGGUGGCGUGACGUCAUAAGGCUGCGGCGCGCUCUCGCGUCUGUUAUGACUCGACUGAAGAAAGAAAAACUCCUGCUGAAGCGACUGAGAUCCACCUGACACACUGUGAUAAAGAUGGCGUUUAUUAAAGAGGAGAGUGAAGACAUUAAGAUUAAAGACGUAUUCAGCAUGAAAGAAGAAGAUACUGAGACACGAAUGAAGAUGGCGUUUAUUACAGAGGAGAGUGAAGACAUGAGGACUGAAGAAACAUUCAGCACGAAACGAGAAGAUACGCAGACACAAACAAACCUGGUGUUUAUUAAAGACGAGAGUGAAAACAUUAGGAUCGAAGACGUGUUCAGCAUCACAUGUGAAGAUAUAGAGACACAAACGUCUAUUCGAGAGAAGAAUAAAGGCAUGAAGACACAAACGUCUAUUAGAGAGAAGAGAGAAGACACGAAGAAGAAGAAACCAUUCAGAGUCAAGCAUGAAGAUGCUGAGACACAAACAGACCUGAAGUCGCUGAAAGUGGAGAGUCGAGAUCUGAAUGAAACAGAGGAGAAACGUCAUGAAACUGGAGAAAAAUCUUUCAAUUGUUCAGAGACUGAAAGGACUUUCAUUCAAAAAAGAGCUCAGAAGACUGGAACUAGAAAAGGUUCCGCCUGCCAACAGUGUGGAAAGAGUUUCUCUCAAAAAGGAGAGCUUCACAAAUAAAGGAUCCCGUUACAGUCACAUGAGGUCUCACACUGGAGGGAAGCUUUUCACAUAUCAUUAAUGUGAAAAGACUUUGUUAUGUCGAACAGAUCUGAAAAGUCAUUUGCAAACUCCUUCUGGCAAGAAAUUGUAGUGAUCUGAAUGUAGAGGUUUAGAAAAAAAGAGCAAUUUCAAAAAUCAUCUGUGCAUUCACUCUGGAGAAAGACGGGUACCAGUGGGUCCUACAUUCCUUUUCAACAAUUAAUGUGUCGGCCUUUCGAAUUAGGCCGUGGAUUCAGGGAACAGUUGUUGUUUUGCAUGCACUCAACUCCACGACUCCUAAUUGCAUAAAAGAAAAUCGCAUGUGAAAAUUGACAUUUAAUCCACAAAAUAGUGGAUUAUUCAUUAUACAUCUGUGACAUUCAAUAGUUUGGAUUUAUUCUUCAUUUAUGUAUGUUUUCAUCAGAACUGCAAGCAGGGAUCCUCUGUUUGAGGUGACACUGAACGAACAAACUAACAUUCUCCAUUUCACAGUAAAAUUAAAAUGUAUGUUUUAGUAAACUUGUAGCUAAAGUUCAAGUAAACCUUUAUUUGUCUAUCUUACAGUUAAAGUAAAAUGAAUGACUGUGCAAAUACUGUACAUUAAAAUAAUUUACAACUCCAUUAAAAUAUAUUUUUUAUCAACAUGUUUAUGAUGCAGAAAUCUAAAUUUUAACAAAGUAAUAUACAGACAGUGAUGCAUGUGCAACAACAAUAAUGUGCAUAGUUCUGAUCUACUGUCAUAACAUAAUAUAAUAUAUUCUUAAUCAUAAUAUGGUUAGUUUCUAUUAAUAUCAAAAGGCUGUAUGCUUAAUAUGUAGCUCUGUUUGACACAUUUUGUAUUAGGGGUCCCUGCUCUAUUUCUCUAUUGCCUAAUGGGGUCCUUGUGUUGAAAAAUGUUGAAAAAUCUAAAAUCUUGCCUAUAUGCAUUAACAGGUUAUUCCCUUUUCUUUCACACAACAAUUUACUGUACAGUGUUGCC
ensembl:lncRNA